GGGUUGUGAGGUUAAGCGACUAAGCGUACACGGUGGAUGCCCUGGCAGUCAGAGGCGAUGAAGGACGUGCUAAUCUGCGAAAAGCGCCGGCGAGGUGAUAUGAACCCUUGACCCGGCGAUGUCCGAAUGGGGAAACCCAGUGUGUUCCGACACACUAUCGUUAACUGAAUACAUAGGUUAACGAGGCGAACCGGGGGAACUGAAACAUCUAAGUACCCCGAGGAAAAGAAAUCAACCGAGAUUCCCCCAGUAGCGGCGAGCGAACGGGGAGCAGCCCGGAGUCUGAAUCAGCUUGUGUGUUAGUGGAACGGUCUGGAAAGUCCGACGGUACAGGGUGAUAGUCCCGUACACGAAAAUGCACAUGCUGUGAACUCGAAGAGUAGGGCGGGACACGUGGUAUCCUGUCUGAAUAUGGGGGGACCAUCCUCCAAGGCUAAAUACUCCUGACUGACCGAUAGUGAACCAGUACCGUGAGGGAAAGGCGAAAAGAACCCCGGCGAGGGGAGUGAAAAAGAACCUGAAACCGUGUACGUACAAGCAGUGGGAGCCUCUUUAUGGGGUGACUGCGUACCUUUUGUAUAAUGGGUCAGCGACUUAUAUUCUGUAGCAAGGUUAACCGUAUAGGGGAGCCGAAGGGAAACCGAGUCUUAACUGGGCGUUAAGUUGCAGGGUAUAGACCCGAAACCCGGUGAUCUAGCCAUGGGCAGGUUGAAGGUUGGGUAACACUAACUGGAGGACCGAACCGACUAAUGUUGAAAAAUUAGCGGAUGACCUGUGGCUGGGGGUGAAAGGCCAAUCAAACCGGGAGAUAGCUGGUUCUCCCCGAAAGCUAUUUAGGUAGCGCCUCGUGAACUCAUCUUCGGGGGUAGAGCACUGUUUCGGCUAGGGGGCCAUCCCGGCUUACCAACCCGAUGCAAACUACGAAUACCGAAGAAUGUUAUCACGGGAGACACACGGCGGGUGCUAACGUCCGUCGUGAAGAGGGAAACAACCCAGACCGCCAGCUAAGGUCCCAAAGUCAUGGUUAAGUGGGAAACGAUGUGGGAAGGCACAGACAGCCAGGAUGUUGGCUUAGAAGCAGCCAUCAUUUAAAGAAAGCGUAAUAGCUCACUGGUCGAGUCGGCCUGCGCGGAAGAUGUAACGGGGCUAAACCAUGCACCGAAGCUGCGGCAGCGACGCUUAUGCGUUGUUGGGUAGGGGAGCGUUCUGUAAGCCGUUGAAGGUGUGCUGUGAGGCAUGCUGGAGGUAUCAGAAGUGCGAAUGCUGACAUAAGUAACGAUAAAGCGGGUGAAAAGCCCGCUCGCCGGAAGACCAAGGGUUCCUGUCCAACGUUAAUCGGGGCAGGGUGAGUCGACCCCUAAGGCGAGGCCGAAAGGCGUAGUCGAUGGGAAACAGGUUAAUAUUCCUGUACUUGGUGUUACUGCGAAGGGGGGACGGAGAAGGCUAUGUCAGCCGGGCGACGGUUGUCCCGGUUUAAGCAUGUAGGCGGAGGUUCCAGGUAAAUCCGGUACCUUAUUAACGCUGAGGUGUGAUGACGAGGCACUACGGUGCUGAAGUGAUAAAUGCCCUGCUUCCAGGAAAAGCCUCUAAGCAUCAGGUAACACGAAAUCGUACCCCAAACCGACACAGGUGGUCAGGUAGAGAAUACCAAGGCGCUUGAGAGAACUCGGGUGAAGGAACUAGGCAAAAUGGUGCCGUAACUUCGGGAGAAGGCACGCUGAUAUGUAGGUGAAGCCCCUGCGGGCGGAGCUGAAAUCAGUCGAAGAUACCAGCUGGCUGCAACUGUUUAUUAAAAACACAGCACUGUGCAAACACGAAAGUGGACGUAUACGGUGUGACGCCUGCCCGGUGCCGGAAGGUUAAUUGAUGGGGUUAGCGGCAACGCGAAGCUCUUGAUCGAAGCCCCGGUAAACGGCGGCCGUAACUAUAACGGUCCUAAGGUAGCGAAAUUCCUUGUCGGGUAAGUUCCGACCUGCACGAAUGGCGUAAUGAUGGCCAGGCUGUCUCCACCCGAGACUCAGUGAAAUUGAACUCGCUGUGAAGAUGCAGUGUACCCGCGGCAAGACGGAAAGACCCCGUGAACCUUUACUAUAGCUUGACACUGAACACUGGUCCUUGAUGUGUAGGAUAGGUGGGAGGCUUUGAAGCGUGGACGCCAGUCUGCGUGGAGCCGUCCUUGAAAUACCACCCUUUAAUGGCUGGUGUUCUAACGUAGACCCGUGAUCCGGGUUGCGGACAGUGUCUGGUGGGUAGUUUGACUGGGGCGGUCUCCUCCCAAAGAGUAACGGAGGAGCACGAAGGUUGGCUAAUCCUGGUCGGACAUCAGGAGGUUAGUGCAAUGGCAUAAGCCAGCUUGACUGCGAGCGUGACGGCGCGAGCAGGUGCGAAAGCAGGUCAUAGUGAUCCGGUGGUUCUGAAUGGAAGGGCCAUCGCUCAACGGAUAAAAGGUACUCCGGGGAUAACAGGCUGAUACCGCCCAAGAGUUCAUAUCGACGGCGGUGUUUGGCACCUCGAUGUCGGCUCAUCACAUCCUGGGGCUGAAGUAGGUCCCAAGGGUAUGGCUGUUCGCCAUUUAAAGUGGUACGCGAGCUGGGUUUAGAACGUCGUGAGACAGUUCGGUCCCUAUCUGCCGUGGGCGCUGGAGAAUUGAGGGGGGCUGCUCCUAGUACGAGAGGACCGGAGUGGACGCAUCACUGGUGUUCGGGUUGUCAUGCCAAUGGCACUGCCCGGUAGCUAAAUGCGGAAGAGAUAAGUGCUGAAAGCAUCUAAGCACGAAACUUGCCCCGAGAUGAGUUCUCCCUGAGAC
rnacentral:rRNA from 1 species